UACGGAAGGCAGCAGUGGGGAAUAUUGCACAAUGGGCGAAAGCCUGAUGCAGCUAUGCCGCGUGUAUGAAGAAGGCCUUAGGGUUGUAAAGUACUUUCAUCGGGGAGGAAAAAACAAAACUAAUAAUUUUAUUUCUUGACGUUACCCGAAAAAGAAGCACCGGCUAACUCCGUGCCAGCAGCCGCGGUAAUACGGAGGGUGCUAGCGUUAAUCAGAAUUACUGGGCGUAAAGAGCACGUAGGUGGUUUUUUUAAAGUCAGAUGUGAAAUCCCUGGGCUUAACCUAGGAACUGCAUUUUGAAACUGAAAUACUAGAGUAUCGUAGAGGGAGGUAGAAUUCUAGGUGUAGCGGUGAAAUGCGUAGAUAUCUGGAGGAAUACCUGUGGCGAAAGCGGCCUCCUAAACGAAUACUGACACUGAGGUGCGAAAGCGUGGGGAGCAAAACGAGGGAUUAGAUACC
rnacentral:rRNA from 1 species